AUCUAUUUUCUAACUAUUUAUUUUGUUAUCUUCUCAAAAGGAUGGACUCAAGUGGAAAAUACACAUUAAAAAUACACAGCAUUGGGGCGCCUGGGUGGCGCAGUCGGUUAAGCGUCC